UACGGAGGGUGCAAGCGUUAUCCGGAUUUACUGGGUUUAAAGGGUGUGUAGGCGGGCUUUUAAGUCAGUGGUGAAAUCUCCGGGCUCAACCUGGAAACUGCCAUUGAUACUAUUAGUCUUGAAUAUUGUUGAGGUAGGCGGAAUAAGUCAUGUAGCGGUGAAAUGCUUAGAUAUGAUAUAGAACACCGAUUGCGAAGGCAGCUUACUAAACGAUCAUUGACGCUGAGGCACGAAAGCGUGGGGAUCAAACAGG
rnacentral:rRNA from 1 species